rnacentral:rRNA from 2 species
AAGCAGGGGAUCGCAAGACCUUGCGCUUUUGGAGCGGCCGAUGUCUGAUUAGCUAGUUGGUGAGGUAAAGGCUUACCAAGGCGUCGAUCAGUAGCUGGUCUGAGAGGACGACCAGCCACACUGGGACUGAGACACGGCCCAGACUCCUACGGGAGGCAGCAGUGGGGAAUUUUGGACAAUGGGGGAAACCCUGAUCCAGCCAUGCCGCGUGAGUGAAGAAGGCCUUCGGGUUGUAAAGCUCUUUCAGCCGGAACGAAACGGUCACGGCUAAUACCUGUGAUCACU